CGCGAAUGGCUCAUUACACAGCUAUAAUUUACUAGCUCUAUGUCCUAUAUGGAUAACUGCGGUAAUUCUGGAGCCAAUACAUGCAUCAAGCCUCGACCUUCGGGUUCGGGGUGCAAUUAUUGGAGCAAAACCAGUCUUGUACUGUUUGCUAACUCUGGAUAAUGCUGCUUAUCGCAUGGUCUUGUACCGGCGAAAUUGCUUUCAAGUAUCUGCUUUAUCAACUAACGUUGGUAUUUCAUUGGAUUACCAUGGUGUUGACGGGUAACGGAGAAUCAGGGUUUGACUCCGGAGAGGGAGCCUCAGAAACGGCUACCAUGUCUAAGGAUAGCAGCAGGCGCGAAAAUUACCCAAUAUCAAAGCGAUGAGGUAGUGACAGAAAAUAACGAGAUCGUUCUCUUUGAGGUCGGUCAUUGGAAUGAGUAAAAUCCAGACAUUUUAACGAGUAUCUACGAGAGGGCAAGUCUGGUGCCAGCAGCCGCGGUAAUUCCAGCUCUCGUAAUGUAUAGAAUUAUUGUUGCGAUUAAAAAGUUCGUAGUUGGAUUGCUAAUGCUACGUGGGUCCGUCUUCGUGACGUGUACUCAACGGGCGAAUUUUGUUGGUUUUUGCGGCGUGGUUUCGAUCGCGUUCGUAAUGCCAGCAGGAUUACUUUGAACGGCUCAAGUGUUCAGAGCAAGUCUUAUGACUGAAUACCGGUGCAUGGAAUAAUGGAACAAGGUUGCGGCCGAGUUUUAUUGGUUUUGUCGGCUGCGACAAUGGUUAACAGGAACAGCCGGGGGCAUUCGUAUCGCUGCGCGAGAGGUGAAAUUCGUGGACCGUAGCGAGACGUACGAAAGCGAAGGCAUUUGCCAAGAGUGUUUUCAUUAAUCAAGAACGAAAGUCAGAGGUUCGAAGGCGAUCAGAUACCGCCC
rnacentral:rRNA from 1 species